UAGAAUAUGGUGUAAUGUGGAAGCACGAAGAAUUUUGAGUUCUUAGGAACGGGUUCAAUCCCCGUAUUUCUAG
rnacentral:tRNA from 1 species